GACAGAGGAUGCAAGCGUUAAUCGGAAUUACUGGGCGUAAAGCGCACGCAGGCGGUCUGUUAAGUCAGAUGUGAAAUCCCCGGGCUUAACCUGGGAACUGCAUUUGAAACUGGCAGGCUUGAGUCUUGUAGAGGGGGGUAGAAUUCCAGGUGUAGCGGUGAAAUGCGUAGAGAUCUGGAGGAAUACCGGUGGCGAAGGCGGCCCCCUGGACAAAGACUGACGCUCAGGUGCGAAAGCGUGGGGAGCAAACAGG
rnacentral:rRNA from 1 species